rnacentral:tRNA from 1 species
GCCUGGGUGGCUCAGUGGUUAAGCAUCUGGCUUUGGCUCAGGUCGUGAUCCUGGAGUCCUGGGAUCGAGUCCCACAUCAGGCU